rnacentral:rRNA from 1 species
UUGAACGCUGGCGGCAUGCCUUACACAUGCAAGUCGAACGGCAGCACGGGAGCAAUCCUGGUGGCGAGUGGCGAACGGGUGAGUAAUGUAUCGGAACGUACCUUACAGUGGGGGAUAACGUAGCGAAAGUUACGCUAAUACCGCAUAUUCUCUGAGGAGGAAAGCAGGGGACCUUAGGGCCUUGCGCUGUUAGAGCGGCCGAUAUCAGAUUAGCUAGUUGGUGGGGUAAAAGCUCACCAAGGCGACGAUCUGUAGCGGGUCUGAGAGGAUGAUCCGCCACACUGGAACUGAGACACGGUCCAGACUCCUACGGGAGGCAGCAGUGGGGAAUUUUGGACAAUGGGCGCAAGCCUGAUCCAGCCAUGCCGCGUGAGUGAAGAAGGCCUUCGGGUUGUAAAGCUCUUUCGGCCGGGAAGAAAUCGCAUUGGUUAAUACCUGGUGUGGAUGACGGUACCGGAAUAAGAAGCACCGGCUAACUACGU